AUGCAGGAUUGGGCUGCUGCAGAGGCACGGGGAGGAAGAAGUGUGUGUGUGUGUGUGUGUGUGUGUGUGUGUGUGUGCGUGUGCGUGUGUGUGUGUGUGUGUACGUGGCACUGCUGGUUGUGACAUCGGCUGCUAGAGGGUUAAAAAAAAAAUCAGAGAUUGUUAAAACAGACUACAGCUGACUGGCUUGUGCAUACGUUUACGCGUAUAAACGCGCGUCCUGAGGUUCGCAUCCUUAUGGUGAUGGUGAAGCAGCUACCACAGCCAUUCACGCAGACCCCAUCUUACCGGCGUGAAGGGUCUUUUGCUCACGAUGGAAAAAAAUCUUGAAGCCCCUCCCCUCUCCUCAAGAGAUUCUUGAUGCAGGAAAUAUAUAGCUACGCGUAAUCUGCUGCUGCCAUGGCGCCUAGAUUCCAGGUGAAGUCUAACAUGAAGAGCCUGGAGCGCGAGCUGCACUGCUCUGUGUGUAAGGACAUCGUCAAACAGCCCGUGGUCCUGCCAUGCCAGCACAGCAUCUGCCUCUUGUGUGCCUCCGAGGUCCUUGUGGCGAACGGCUACCCGCCUCCAGAGCUCCCCCCAGAGCCAAACUCUCCAGCCUCUACGCCCAACAUGCGCUCACCCCGUCAGGCCCGCAGGCCUACUCCCAAACAUGAGCAGAGACCUAUUGACCGCGUACUGCGGGCAGGUCCCCACCCGCCUUCCCCGUCCAUGCCCCGGUCUCCAGGAUAUGGGUCGUAUCCAGGGCGACGCCGCAAGGAAGGCCCACCUCUGAUGAUGCUGUUCCCCUGUGUGCCCUGCGGCAGAGAUGUGGAGCUGGGAGAAAAGGGCCUCACUGACUGUCUGCGCAACCUUACCUUGGAGCGGAUAGUGGAGAGGUACAGACACACAGUGAGCCUUGGCAGUGUGGCUGUCAUGUGUCAGUUCUGUAAACCUCCUCAGACUCUGGAGGCCACCAAAGGCUGCGCCGACUGCAGGUCCAAUUUCUGUAAUGAGUGUUUUAAGCUGUACCACCCAUGGGGGACGCCACGGGCGCAACAUGAACAUAUCCUGCCCACACUCAACUUCAGACCAAAGGUUCUGACCUGUCCGGAGCAUGACCAGGAGAAACUACAGUUCUACUGUCGGACUUGUCAGCGGCUGCUCUGUCCUCUCUGCAAACUACGCCGCCUCCACACCGGACACAAAGUGCUCCCUGUGGCCCAGGCGUACCAGGCCCUAAAGGAGAAGAUUACGAAGGAGAUGAACUACAUUCUGUCCAACCAGGACACAGUCCUCAGUCAGAUUACCCAGCUGGAGAGUUCCAUCACACAGACUGAGGUAAACAGUGUAUCAGCCAGAGAGCAGCUGGCUCAGAGCAUCAGGGAUCUGACGGCUGCUCUGGCCGAGCGCCAUGCUUCGCUCACCCAGGCUCUGGAGUCGACGCGGCAGAAACGAGGCGAGGCGUUGGCUGCUCAAGUGGCGGAGCGACGGAGCUUGAUGGAGCACGCGGGGCUCAUGGCGUUUACCCAGGAGCUGCUGAAAGAAACAGACCAGCCCUGUUUUGUGCAGGCUGCUCGCCAGACUCAUAACAGGUUGUGCAAAGCGAUAGAGAACCUGCAGCAUUUCACUUUGGCUGCUGAUCCGUCCUUCAGACACUUCCAGCUGGACGUCUCUAAAGAACUCAAACUCCUGACGGAUUUGAACUUCAUCCAAGCUCCCCAGGCUCCAGUGAUUGAUACCCAGCGUACCCUGGCCUAUGACCAGCUCUUCCUGUGCUGGCGACUCCCUCCAGAGUCUGCCCCUGCCUGGCACUUCUCUGUCGAGUAUCGCCGCCGAGGUGUGGUUCCAGGUGGAGCAUCUAGAGGCGGGAUCAGAGGAGGAUUGGCAGCCGCCCGUUGGGGCUGGCAACGAAUGGAUGAAGUGAGUGGGAGCAGCGCCGUGAUCGACAGGCUGGAGAUGGACAGUGUGUACGUGCUGCGGGUGAGAGGCUGCAACAAGGCGGGCUAUGGGGAGUACAGUGAGGAGGUGUACCUGCACACGCCUCCGGCACCAGCUUUGCACUUGUCAUCCUCUUCUGCGCUGCUUCAACGCCGCCAACCUUCAUGCCUCCUACAGAACUGCUAAACUUCUAUUUGGACUCUCGCUGGGGUCUCCAUGCUGACCGGCUGGUGGUCAGUAAAGAGCAACGCUGUGCUCGCAGUGUGCCUGGUCUCUCCCUGCUGCAGGCUGCUGACCAUGCCCUAACUUCCUGUCACCUGACCUCAGACCUUCUGGUUGGGGAUGUUGCUAUAACACAAGGAAGGCACUACUGGGCAUGCUCAGUGGAGCCAGGGUCUUACUUAGUGAAAGUUGGAGUUGGUUUGGAAUCUAAACUGCAGGAGUGGUUUCACCUUCCACAAGACAUGGCAAGUCCACGCUAUGAUCCCGACAGUGGUCAUGACAGUGGAGCAGAAGAUGCCCUGGACUCUGCUCCACCCUUCUGCUUCCUCACUAUGGGAAUGGGAAAGAUUUACCUGCCACAGCACAGCUAUCACCACCACAACAACAACCACAGCAACGGUGCCCGAGACCCCAUCAGCAACGGCCCCUCCUCGCCCACAGGUGUCACCUACCCGCUGCCGCCCCGGCUUGGCUUGUGCCUGGACUUUGAGAAGGGUCGGGUCACCUUUUAUGAUGCCCACUCUCUGCGACCUUUGUGGGAGGGUCAUGUCGAUUGCUCCGGUCCCGUGUGCCCAGCUUUUUGUUUUAUUGGCGGUGGGGCGCUGCAGCUGCAGGAGCUGGUAGCCAAUCGCAGUGCAGAUCAGACCCCGGUGAGAAGGGUGACCAUCCAAACACGCGUCUCUAAUUUAAACAACUGAAGGCUGAUCAGAGCUCACAUGGUAAUUUGGAAUGUAAUUGGUAAUUGUGAUGUAUUUAAUCAGCUAGAGCGAAAAGUUAGAUAUCUCAGCGAUUUUGUUUUGUAUUUCAUUUUCUUUAUACAAGAAAAUGUUUCUAUAGCAACAAAUAUGCAAUGUAAUUAAGUUUUUUACAUUUUUGUUAUAUGCAGUUUUGCAAGACUUAUUGCUUAAGUAGUGUCUGGUAUCUCCAGCACUUUAUAUGUAAUUUUAUCUUUGACGCUUGCACUUGUAGCCAGGCUAAAUUGCGUACAUUUAUAAAGCUAAUGUAGAUCCAGCACCAGACAAUGUUGUCUUUUCUGUAGAAGCUAUUUUUCGUCUUUCAUGCUUAACUUGACAUCGCUGACAUUUUAAAAGAUAUGAACAUUACGUGAGAGAAAAAAAGAAGAGGCCUCGACUAUUUAAAGCUCCUGUGAGGAAUGUUCAUUUUGCUUGGAUUUUGGCGCCCCCUGUUGACAAAGCUGGACCACCAAUCUUUGCUGAUACUGUCCUGUUCAUGUGUGAGUAGUAUUUUCUGACUAGCCUUUUUAACAGGCAAACAUAUCACUAACAGUGAAUCUCUGCUGCUGUUAUGGUAGUGUGCUGUUACUUGCCUUGUUUGACACCUACCCUGCUGCAGUGGUUAUCAGCAUUAGAAGUUACUAUAUAGAAAUGAUCAGUCUUGUCACUGAUGGUCUGGUUUGCAUUUGUAGGUCACACAGAGGCACCAAUGUUAAUUUCAGCCUGUUUAAUAACUGCUGAAAAAAACCUCACAGGAGCUUUAAUUGCUUCUAUAGCUGAGCUUGUUUAACUACACAGAUUUAUUUUCUGUCUGUGAACACUUUCUGUAAUUUACGCAUUAUGAUCCCAACCAAAGUUAUUGUUUUUCUGGGAUGUAAAUGCGGUAAAUUAGAGGUAGAGAGGAACAAUGAGGCAAUACUGUAAUUACAAGCUCCAAUUAUACCUCUGCUGCACAGCUAAUCACUAGUUUCUGCUCUGCGGUUCUGUUUGUGCUACUUUGUAUUUCAAAUACACAAGUCUGAUGGGUGUGUGGGUUUGUGUGGGUUUGUGUGUGUGUGUGUGUGUGUGUGUGUGUGUUUACUUCCCUUUGUGCAUGGGUACGUGUGUGGUUUGACUGAUAACAGCAUUGACUCAUUGGCUGUUGGUAAAAAGUUGUUUUCUCAUGCAAACAGUAGUUUUUUUUUUUUUAACUUUGCUUGAUUGUAAGUUAAUGAGCAGCGCUUGUAAUGAAACGAUUAGCAGAUUAGAUUCAUGUAAACUUCACCUGCUGGCAGAAUGUUUGCAAGAGAAAAAUGGAUUAAGGAAAUGAACGCUGAAUAAAUUCAAAUUGUUUAAAUUACAAUAAACACCUUCUGUUUCA